rnacentral:rRNA from 1 species
AACGAACGCUGGCGGCAUGCCUAACACAUGCAAGUCGAACGAGACCUUCGGGUCUAGUGGCGCACGGGUGCGUAACGCGUGGGAACCUGCCCUUAGGUUCGGAAUAACUCCCCGAAAGGGGUGCUAAUACCGGAUAAUGUCUUCGGACCAAAGAUUUAUCGCCUUUGGAUGGGCCCGCGUUGGAUUAGCCAGUUGGUAGGGUAAAAGCCUACCAAGGCGACGAUCCAUAGCUGGUCUGAGAGGAUGAUCAGCCACACUGGGACUGAGACACGGCCCAGACUCCUACGGGAGGCAGCAGUGGGGAAUAUUGGAAAAUGGGCGAAAGCCUGAUCCAGCAAUGCCGCGUGAGUGAUGAAGGCCUUAGGGUUGUAAAGCUCUUUUACCCGGGAUGAUAAUGACAGUACCGGGAGAAUAAGCUCCGGCUAACUCCGUG